GGUUUUCUCUCUGUGUCUUGGGUAGUAUCUGAGGCCCUUGACUCAUGGUGAUUCUAGGUUCAGCCAGGUGACCUGGAUGCUUAGGUACUUGUCUUUGUUUUUUAAGCCUAGGGGUGGUAGUAACUCCCUGCUGUUGCUAAUCUCUGGGGUGCCUCAUGGUCUCUUCUGCAGCCUCUCACUCUUUCAUCACCUCUGUAACCAAUCUCUCAUAUUAAAAUUUUCUAUUUUAGACAUUUAGAAUAGUUUUUGUUACAUCCUGUGAGGUUAGAUCUUGACUUAUACACACAUGGGCCAACUUUGAUUAAUUGUCAAAUAGCAUUCUUUUCCACAAUGCAAUAUUUAUAUACAAAUAACCUUCGACAUUUUAAAACAAUAAAAAACAAGAUACUUUCAACAUAAACAAAUAUCAAAAUUAUAAACAAACUUAGAAUGGUAUUCCUUAUAAUUUAGCAAUAACAACAUUAAUUAUAAGUUUUUUCAACUUAUUUUUUCAGCAGACUGAGCUUCAGAGCUGAGACAAAUGUUUCAUUUAGUGUUCUUUAAAUAGCAUUUAGCUAGUUCUAAUUUGAAGAAAAAACGUUCAUCAGUAGAGACAGAGAGAGAAAUCAAAAAAUAAAAUAAACAAGUAACAUACUUUGGAAAAACUUGUCAUUAUGUCAUAGUAUUACAUGCUAUCUUGGCAAAUUUAUGGAUAGUUUUAAUUUUUUGUUUCACUUGGUAAUGGUUUUAUAUAAAACAGUGAUAUCAUGGGCAAGGAUUCUGUUAUGUUGCUUGAAAAUUUACUUGGAGUCUUCUCUGUGUUCCUUACAAUAGACUUUUUCAAGAUAGCAUUAUUAAUUGAUUUACUGAUAUACUUACUGGC
rnacentral:lncRNA from 10 species